AUAGUAUGUGAAAUGAGAAUGACUUUUUACAUUAGGAAAUUUCUGAAUAAAUAGAGUGGAGGAAGACUGAAAAGAUUUACAAGGAAAACCGUUUUACAGGAUCAAGCAUUUCUCAUAGGACUUAUUAGGUGUGCACAAAGGAUUUAAAAUCUGCAGCUCUGAUGAAGAACAUAUCAGCUCGGAGGACCAGCAUGACUCAACUUCAGGAUUGUUUUUUUUAAAGGAACUGAAAAGUGAUCUCACAAUUCAGGCCAAUUCCAAGGAAGACUGGACGCAUUUCAAAGUGUGGGGAAAAAAAGUUGCAACCACUUCUCAGGAAAAACGUGUCCUCAUUACUGCGAGAGUAUAAAAAGGAGGUGCAGAGGACAUGGGGUUCAGGAGACACUCGGCGCGGGGAGAUUCUUCAAAUCUGAGGAGAGAAUAUCACUGCAGUUUGAGACUCAUAUCUUAUACAGGGAUUCUGCAGGACCCUUUUGUCAGAUCACUCAGUACUUUCAACCAUUAAAGUCACGAUGAAUACUGCAUACCAGUGCAUCAUCCUCCUGACCUGCAUUGCCAACUGCACUUCACAAAAUUAUUUACACUGCUGGUUUCAUUUUUUCCAGCAGUUGUGGACUGUCGGUGUUUAAAAACAAGCAGGUCUGUAAAGCUCGCUCAAGUUGCUGACUUCAGGGAGUACAACCCUCGUCCAUACUGCAACAAGAAAGAGGUCAUUAUCAUGCUGAAAGAUGGGACCUCAUCCUGUCUUGACCCAAACACAAAUUACACCCAAGCACUCCUGCGAACGAUAAAAAUGCAGAAGAAGAAGUUACUCGCUGAAAGGAUGAAUGCAAAAAACUCCAGGACCAAGACAGACACAGUGUCAGCCAAAGUGUCAGCCACCGUCUCAGCCACCGUCUCAGACACCGUCUCAGCCACCGUCUCAGACACAGUCUUAGUCACAGCAUCAGAUUCAGUCUCUGCCACAACGUCGUCAACAUUGCCUUAAAAUGUUCAUAAUCAUUACAACUGAGAUAUCCAACUUGUACACCUUCCCAAAGUCAGGGGAUGGUUGUUGUAGCUCCUGCUUGUUUCUCACAAAGCAAACACAAAUGGUUCAAACAAGCAAGAUUUCUUCACUUCUCUUGUUUUGAGCUUGCACACCAGUAGUACUCCUGCAGCCAUCACUGAGCACGGGCACAUUUAGGAGACAGUUUGUGAAGUCAUGAAAGUGUCUGCACCCAGAAUAUUCAUCUGGGUGAAUGUGUGUGAUGUGUAUAAUGUAUACUGAUGAGACUGGUAUAUUUCCAGCCUAAAGUACUGCCUUAAGAUUGAGUUUUAGACUGUGAUUUUAUCAUAAACAUCCACACUGUUAUUCCCUUAUUUGUCUGUCAGACUCUUUGCAGAAGCAUUGUUUGUAAAGUAAUUUAGGAUGGCAGAUUAUUAAUGUGAUGGUCAGCAAUAGUGAUGAAAAUGGCGUUAAAUGUGAGCUGUGUUUUUGAUUGUGGUUCAUAUAUUUAAGGAUAACUUGUUUGUGUAAUUUGAAGGAUUUCUGUUUUUUUUUUUAUUCCAAAUAAAGGUGUAUUUAUGUUUGUAUACUUCAUACUGUAAAUGUGGCUUUGUAGUACUGAAAUCAUAAUGUACUAUACUGACUUUUGAAGUAAAACUGUUGAUGAAAAGCAACAGAACUGCAUUAAAUGUGGGGGUUGUUUUUAAUAAAUG